UGGGGAAUUUUGGACAAUGGGGGAAACCCUGAUCCAGCCAUCCCGCGUGUGCGAUGAAGGCCUUCGGGUUGUAAAGCACUUUUGGCAGGAAAGAAACGUCAUGGGUUAAUACCCCGUGAAACUGACGGUACCUGCAGAAUAAGCACCGGCUAACUACGUGCCAGCAGCCGCGGUAAUACGUAGGGUGCAAGCGUUAAUCGGAAUUACUGGGCGUAAAGCGUGCGCAGGCGGUUCGGAAAGAAAGAUGUGAAAUCCCGGAGCUCAACUUUGGAACUGCAUUUUUAACUACCGGGCUAGAGUGUGUCAGAGGGAGGUGGAAUUCCGCGUGUAGCAGUGAAAUGCGUAGAUAUGCGGAAGAACACCGAUAGCGAAGGCAGCCUCCUGGGAUAACACUGACGCUCAUGCACGAAAGCGUGGGGAGCAAACAGG
rnacentral:rRNA from 1 species